GUCUGCAGUCAUACCACCCUGAAUGUUUCUGAUCUCAUCUGAUCUCAGAACCAAGGAGGAUUGGGGCCUUGUUAGUAACUGUAGAUU
rnacentral:rRNA from 1 species